rnacentral:rRNA from 1 species
UACGAAGGGGGCUAGCGUUGCUCGGAAUCACUGGGCGUAAAGCGCACGUAGGCGGAUUGUUAAGUCGGGGGUGAAAUCCUGGAGCUCAACUCCAGAACUGCCCUCGAUACUGGCGAUCUCGAGUCCGGGAGAGGUGAGUGGAACUCCGAGUGUAGAGGUGAAAUUCGUAGAUAUUCGGAAGAACACCAGUGGCGAAGGCGGCUCACUGGCCCGGUACUGACGCUGAGGUGCGAAAGCGUGGGGAGCAAACAGG